UUAAAUGUGUGGUAAUGUUAAAUGACCAUCAUGAAGAGAGAGCGACACUGACAACCUUAAGACAGAGCUGGAGGUGGAGAAGCGCUCAUCUGUAGUUUGUUGGUUUGACCAGCAGGUGGAGCUGCUGUAUAAACAAUAAACUGCGACUCAACCAAACAAGUUCCUGUUUGAGUGAACUUGUUUAAUUUUGACACAGGAGAGGAAGAUGAUUGUCAAGAAUACUGAACUUAAAAGAUGAUCAAAAACUGUCAGUAAAUGUCAUGAGAAGAAGAAUCUGUGAUCUGGUGGUUUAGGUUUCAGUGGAAAGAGUCCCUGUGAAAGUGAAAGUAAACUCAAGAGCAGACUCCAUUUUGAGAAAAGAACAGAGCAGAGAGAGGAGAGGACGAGGAGACAGGGUGAGUGUUUACUCUGGGUUUUCUAAUGUCAAAGUCUUUAUCUGUAUCAUCUGUUAAUGAAAAAUGAUUUACUGACUAAUACACUUAAAAACGGUAAAACAAAGAAACCUGACCAGACAAAGAGCUGGAUCAGUUCUUGAUACAGGAAACUGUGUACGUGCAGUUCUUCCUCCUUCUUGUUUAGACUUGUCUUUUUAGUAAAAACAAAAAUGAGUUUCUUUUCAUUUAGCCUCUCAUUUCAAAUUUAAUCCAGUCCCUUUAAUUUUUUAUGAGACUUCAGGGACCUCACAGCUGUUGUUGUUUUGACCAUGAAUCAGAGAGAGGCCCUGUAGCGUACAGAUUAAACCCUGUAUAACUCUUAAAGAGGGGUAGUAAGCUUAUUUCAGACUGAAUACUUUCUUUUUGAUUCCUCUUUAAUAUCUUUACAUGAUUUUCAGUUUAGUCUCCUGUUUCUCACUCUGGUGUAUUAAAAUAUCUUUAUUUCAGCCUCUUCCUAAAACACUUCAUUUUAGCUGCUGUCUCUUUAAGGCCUCCUGUCCACGAGUCUACUUCUAUUUCUGAACACUGUCCUCCUGUUUGUAUCUCACCUGUUUGUCUACUUUGUCCUCAGGUUGUAUAACUCGGUUUCAUCUUCCAAAAAGUUGCUCAACAUCAGAUGGAGAAGAUGAGUGUUUGUGUCGAGGAAGAGGAGGACAGAGCAGAGUCUGUCAUGUCAGACUGUCUGUCUAUGAAGAGUGACUGUUCUAAAGAUUUUAUCCUGGAGUUCAGGAAAGAACCAGGACCCUCAGAGGAGUGCAGAGCAAAGUCUAUUCCGUCCAGCUGUCUGUCUAUGAAGAGUGACCGGUCUAAAGGUAUUAUCCUGAACUUCAGAAAAGAACCAGAACCCUCAGAUUCACAGUAAGAGAAACACUUUUCAACCACCAAACUCUCAAACAACAACAAUUGAUGUUUCAAAAACAAAACUUUUAAAUUCUGACCCCUCUGUUUUCUACCAUGGUGAGAAAAAUGAUCUCCUCUGCUCUCAAAACGGUGAUUUUCCUCUGUAACCUGCCAACCUGGAUAAAGGGCUGGUGAAGAAAAUUCACUGAGCACAGAUUUACUUAUUAUUCAUCAUGUUGAUAAAAAUUAAGGUCGUAUAAAACAGCAUCUGAAAAGGAUUCUGACCUCUGUAUUUUCUGAUUUGGUUCCUGUGUUUGAGACGUUUUGAGCCUGUAAGUCUUUGGACUGUGGUGUAUAGACCCCAGAAAACAGUCUGUGGGUCACAAAAUACCAGAAGACCGAUGAAGAAAUCAUUCCUGUUUGAUCUUUUGAUCAAAAAACUGUAGAAUUGGUGGAGAAAAUCUCUCCACCCUCAAAAAUCUCAGUUUAGUUUUUCUCCUGUCUCCACACUUUCAGGCAGCAGCAGCUGAAUAUUUUACAGGAGAUUGUUUUAUGUUAGAGAAAAGAGUGAGGUCAGAAACUCUGGUUUAAUAAAUGCUUCUUAUUCUGUAUCUUUCAAACAUGAAAUGAUAAAGAAAAUAAAUGUUCUUUAUUUCCACAGAGAGACACAGAGAUGUGACUCUGUGGAGGAGCAGCUGUCCAGAUGUUCAUCAUGUCAGGACGUCCUGAAGGAUCCAGUCUCUUACCGCUGUGGACACCUGUCCUGCAGACAGUGCCUGGCCUCAUGCAGGGACCAGUCUACUUCUUUAGGACACACCUCCUGUCCCCAGUGUGGAAAAAGAACCAGAACAGCUCUUGUCUCUCAGACAGACAGUCAGUCCAGCUCUGAUGGAAGUAAGUCUGAACAUCUGUCCUCUAAAGUCUCUGUGGAUGAAAACUCAGCUGACUGAUUUUCACAAAGACGUUUUCGUGUUGAGAAGUUUGGUUCAUUUGAUUUUUCUUCUCUUUCAGAAGAUGGCGGUCUGCAGGAGGUUUUAGAUGAACAUAAGAUCAGUCUGAAGAGGAGAUGUGAACGUGUGAAUGAAGGAAGUGAUGGAACAGGAAGUAGUCAAACCCUCCUCAACAGGAUCUUCACUGAGCUCUACAUCACACAGGGACUGAGUGAAGAGGUGAACACCCAACAUGAGGUGAGACAGCUGGAGACAGCUUCAAAGAUGGAGACCCUCCAUGACACGCCCAUCAAGUGUCAUGAGAUCUUUCAAACCUUACCUGACCAACAGAAGAAGGUCAUCAGAGUGGUUCUGACCAACGGCGUGGCUGGUGUUGGAAAAACCUUCUCAGUGCAGAAGUUCACUCUGGACUGGGCAGAGGGUUUGGAGAACCAAGACCUCAAUCUGGUGAUCCUGCUUUCAUUCAGGGAGCUGAACCUGAUCAGAGAUGAGCGCUUCAGUCUUCUGAGUCUGCUCCAUGUUUUCCAUCCAACACUAGAGAAGGUCACAGCAGAGACGCUGGCUGUCUGUAAACUUCUGUUCAUCUUUGACGGUCUGGAUGAAAGCAGACUGUCUCUGGAUUUCACAGACUCUGAGGUGGUGUCUGACGUCACACAGAAGUCUUCACUGAACGUUCUGAUAACAAACCUCAUCAAGGGGAACCUGCUCCCCUCAGCUCUCAUCUGGAUAACUUCUCGACCUGCAGCAGCCAAUCAGAUCCCUCCUUCAUGUGUGGACAGGGUAACAGAAGUACGAGGCUUCACUGACGACCAGAAGGAGGUGUACUUCAGGAAGAGGUUCAGAGAUGAGGAACUGUCCAGAAGAAUCAUCUCACACAUCAAGUCCUCCAGGAGCCUCCACAUCAUGUGUCAGAUCCCGGUCUUCUGCUGGAUCACUGCUACAGUUCUGGAGGACAUGAUGAGCAGAGAGCAGAGAGGAGAGCUGCCCAAGACCCUGACGGACAUGUACUCACACUUCCUGCUGGUCCAGACUAAGAGGAAGAAGCAGAAGUAUGAAGGAGGACAUGAGACAAGUCCUCAGGAGCUGACGGAGGCUGACAGUGAAGUCCUCCUGAAGCUGGGGAGGCUGGCCUUUGAACAUCUGGAGAAAGGAGACAUCAUGUUCUACCAAGAAGACCUGGAGCGGUGUGGUCUGGAUGUCUCAGAGGCCUCGGUGUACUCAGGAGUUUGUACAGAGAUCUUCAGAAGAGAGAGUGUGAUCUUCCAGAAAACUGUUUACUGUUUCGUUCAUCUGAGCGUUCAGGAGUUUCUGGCUGCAGUCUACGUGAUCCACAGUUUCACAAACAGGAACACAAAAGUUCUGAAGACUUUCCUAAGAGGCAACAAUGACGAAGACAAAAUGUCUCACUUAAAGACGGUUUCCAGAUCUUUUAAAAACCUAAAUCUCUUCCUGAAGAAUGCCAUGAAGAAAUCUCUUGUCAGUAAAAACGGUCACCUGGACCUGUUUGUUCGCUUCCUUCAUGGACUCUCUCUGGAGUCAAACCAGAGACUCUUAGGAGGUCUGCUGGGUCACACAGGCAACAGUCCAAUAAUGAUCCAAAGAGUCAUCAACAACCUGAAGGAGAUGAACAGUAGAGAUAUCUCUCCUGACAGAAGCAUCAACAUCUUCCACUGUCUGAUGGAGAUGAACGAUCUGUCAGUUCAUCAGGAGAUCCAAGAGUUCCUGAAGUCAGAGAAGAGGUCAAGUAGGAAAUUCUCAAUUAUCCAAUGCUCUGCUCUGGCCUACAUGCUGCAGAUGUCAGAGGAGGUUCUGGAUGAGUUGGACUUUAAGAAGUAUAAAACAUCAAACCAGGGACGACUGAGACUGAUGCCAGCUGUGAGGAACUGCAGAAAAGCUCGGUAAGUCCAGGUUUUAUUCUCAGAAUAGUGUAAAUGAUCCCUGUAGUUCUUCUAAUGUCCACGUUACUGAUGAUGUUCUUCUUCAAAUAGAAAUCAGCUAAAACUAUCAGGGAGGGGGUUUCUUUAGGUUCAGCGAAAACAUGAUCCUGGUUUUUGUCUGUAAUGAAUAAAGUGGAACUUUCAGGACAAAUCAGCGACCAUAUCUGAGGACACACAGAGGUCUUCUGAUGAUGGUAUCAGUCCAGAUCAACAUCUCAGUCAGUUGUGGUGAACUUGAGUUUGAAGAAGGUGUCUGCAGCUUCUUCCUGCUGGAACUGGAUCAUUUUCUACACAGUGGCAGAACUGUCUCUGUACCAUCAUGUUCGUCAUCAUCAAUACAACCAUGAAAACUAACAUCAUUUUCCACCACUCACUGGAUAUUAUCUGGUGAACUAGAACAUAUGCAUGAUGAGAACAUGAGUUAUUUGGACAGCAGCUCCAUGUGUCUGAAAACAAUGGUGGAAAUAGGAUGUUAAUGUCUCUCUCUAUGCUAAUGACGCACUAACACUAGUCUGCCUCAUAACACCUCAUAGUAUGGGGAAACAGCUGUGCUCUUCCACUGUAUAUAUGGACACCAUGUCUCUAAGGAGAAGCAGUGUGACUGCAUCAUCAUCAUCAGUUUUCCAUGGUGUCCCUUUGUUGUCAUAGUGAUGCUGCAGAGUGAAGAUGGUUCCUCUAAUGUUGAGGUGUUGGUGGGCUGUAGCGGUCACAUUUCUCCCACUCGGCUGCGUGCCUCGGUUUAAGGUCUGAACCAGGUCUAAAGGACUAACAAGACAGACUUUUUUAGGAAGCAAAAACUAGCAAAAAAACUAGCAAUCUGUUAUUUUUAUAGGAGUUAUGCGAACUUAUGUCUCAUAGAGUUCAAAUAACCUCAAUCAUGAGAGAGAGAGAGAAACAAACAAAGACAGAGGUUCAGUGGGUCUUUGUAUCUGUCUCUUAAAGGUCUCUCUGGAUUCAUCAGGCUUUAUAAACUUGUUUCUGCUGGUGAAGGGAAUGUUACAUGGAGAAAAAACUUUGACUGUGAAAACAAAGAAAUCUUCAACUCUUCAAAUGUUCAGAGUCAAACCAGCUCUAACCUGCUAAAAAACGAUUUGAUCUGAACCAAUCAUAGAAAAAGGAGCUGCUGCUGUGAUUUAGUGAGUCGUCCUCUGAUUGGUCAACAGGCCGUCUGUCAAACCAAAGAUCAUGUUUAAGUUGUUUUUGGUGAAGAGAAACAUCAAAUUACCCUUCAAUGAAAUAUUGUUUGAUGUUUAUGUUGUUACAGAUUUUCUGACUGUGGACUCUCAAAGACUCACUGUAAAUUUGUGGCCUCAGCCCUGAAGUCCGACCCCUCCUAUCUGAGACAUCUGGACCUGAGUGGAAACAAACUGCAGGAUUCAGGAGUGAAGCUUCUCUCUGCAGGACUGCAGAGUCCAAACUGCAGACUGAAGAUUCUGAGGUCAGACACCAUUUCCUUCUGAUCUAACAAUAAGAUGUGACAGUUGCUGCCUUAGAUUUUUCUCUGUGGUUUUUCCAUCACCUUUAGUCGAGCAGUUUGAAUUGGAGUUGUAAAACUUCUACUCAAAGUCAACUCUGAAAUGUUUGAUUUUUCUUCCUGUGUUGAAUGAUGGAUGUAGAAAGGAAGCAGGAGAAAAUCAGUCCCACAAAUAUUACACAUGCUUGUAGAGGGCAGGAGCAGCACAGACUAAAGGCUGAUAUUGAACUGAUCCACAGUUAAUGUGAUCACUAAUGAAUGAAUGAAGUGUCAGAGAAAUGAUUAGCUGCAGAUUGAAACCUUAAGAACAAAGUUAAUCCAACUCUGGAUAUUUCAUUUGGAAACUCUUGAAAACUUGAAUUUCUUCUUUGCUCAGUCGUGUUCAAAUGUAAAAACCAGAUCCAGAUUUUUCUGCAGUUUUCACUUCAGUUUGUUGAACAUUAACAUCAUCUUGUCCAGUUGGUCCAUAAAAACCUCUCUGAUCAAUGAUCUGUUGGUUUAUUUACGAGUAGUUUGUCAGUUGUUGACGGCAGACGGACAGAGCCCUGAAUAAACUCCUGACUGUUUUCAUCUUCAUGAAGAAUUCAGGACUACAAAAAAACCUUUGAGAUUUCUCACAUUAAUUUCUCAGGAUCUCACUAAAGUUUUCUGUAUUCUAAACAUAUUCUUGACUGAAUUAUUCCUCAGGAUCUUCACAAAGUUUAGAGAGAAUUUCACAAAGUUCCUCAAGAUCAACUCUGAAAAAGUUCUCCUUCCAUGUCCCUCAGGGGCUCAAGAACAUUGAAUCAUUAAAGCAGGAACAGUUUCUUUAGAGGUUCAAUGAUUUUUUUUUUUUUUCAGAUUGAGUGACUGCAGUUUGUUUAGCUGUUCUUCUCUGGCCUCGGCUCUGUAUUUCAAUCCCUUCCAUCUGAGACAGUUGGACCUGAGUGACAACAAAUUGCAGGAUUCAGGAGUGGAGCUGCUGUGUGACUUUCUGCAGGAUCCAAACGGUAAACUGGAGCAUCUGGGGUAAGUUUAGUCUUUGUCUGUUUCUGGUGUAGAUUUUAAUGUUUAAUCAUUUUUUUUAACCCAAUUCAAAUGUUCACAGACUUCUUGAAUAUUUCCAGAACUUUCUUCUCACUCACAUACAUUCAUAGUUUUUAUUGAAUCAGCAGUCAGAUACAGAUAGAGGAAAAUGAGCACUGUGAGUUAUUUUGUUGAUUGAAUGUUGAUGAUUUUUUAUCAAUGGUUCAGAUGAGCACUGCAGUGAUGUUGAGGGGUUUACUUCCUCGGUCUCUAAAACAUUUAAAUGUUCAAGGAUGCAGUGAACUCAGUUUCCAUGCAGCUCAGAAACACAGCUCAUCUUUUUCAAACUUCAAAAUUCUUGAGACUGAAUUUUGUUUGUCAUGAGAUGUGACAGCUGAUUUUAUAAAUUAACUUGAAGAUAACUUCAGAGACAUUUUGAACAUAUUCGUGAGUUAAUAUUCAUUAAUUACAACCAUAUCAUAGUGAUAUCAGACAGGAGUGUGACAGGUGUUUAUUAGUCUUUUUGACACGUUACAAUAAUGAGGAUAAAGUCAUGGACUAAACUUGGGCUCCCAGUUUCCUUGUUGUUGUUGUUGCUUCAGCUAGCAUCAUUGUUUUCAUCACAGUUAUUAAAGUAAUAAUGAUGCUUCAUGAAUUCAGAGUCACAAAAAACACCAAACAAACCAAAUCUGAAAAAAAUCCACUUUUUCAUCAAAUGUGUUUAAUCUGUCAGAACAUGAGGUUUGAGUUUUCAUGAGGAGGAAUAGAGAAAUAUCUGCAAUGAUAGAUAGAAACACAGACACCUGAAUUUACACUGACAGACACACAAACACAGACAGAGAGACACAAACAGGGAUUUCCACUUUGUCACUUUGCUCUGAUGACUGAAGUCACAAAAACAAAGUUUUCUUUGUCACUUUUAUGAUUGAACCAAAUAAGUUCAAGAACCAAACUCUCAGAUUUUGUUCUUCCCAAUAUUAUUUGAACCAUUUUGAUUUUUCUUCUGAUCAAUAUUCAAUGAUCAGAUUGAUUAGGUUCCUGUUUUGGCUCCACUGCCUCUUUUCUGCGAGCUCAAUAACUGCUCAUAUGGUUUGAAAGGUUCCUGCUGCAAAACCCGAUUAGAGAGUGGACUAAAUGAAAUGUGAGUGAACUCAGCCAUCAGUGAAUAAAUGACAAAGUGAGAGGAAGAGUGGAUCUGUCUGCUCUCUGACCUUGUUGAUCCUGAUGAAGGUGAGGGAGAAGAGUAAAGCAGUAAAGGUGAUGUUGUUGCAGACAGAGUCAGCUGACCUGUCUCAUCAGAGUCUCAUCCAUUCUCUGUUUAGCAGAGCGCUGAUGUUACAGUCUGAGAGCACAUUCAGGUUCAGCUUCACAUGGGCUGGAUCUGCUCAAUACAAACUCUUGAGACCAGCCUGGUUGAGGGAGGUGGGCUCAGUGUCCUGGGUGACUCUCUCUGAGCUCUUCUUGGUUGAGAGUAUUUCUGGUUUGUCUCUGACUUCCAUGAACUCAGAUCUGGAGGAUUGCUGGCUGGUCCGGUCCAGUGCUGACAGUAGAGACAACACAGUCUGUUAUUCUGGGUUGGGUGUUCUUGUUGAAGAUCAGUGUACAGUGAGGGAUGAAGGCAGACAAAGAUCCUCCUGUUUCCUCCAUGUCACAGUUCAAGUUCAUUUUGAAGACUUUUAUUGAUCCGAGCGCUGAAGAGGAACAGGAAACAUGGAGUAGAGAGUGAGGGAGGACUUACAGCAAAGGAUCAUGGGAGUCUAACCAGCAACUGCUACGACAAGGACUCCACCUUCUGAACACCUGAACCUCUAAUCCAAACCAGUGCUCCAUCACACUUGAUGUCUUGUCUGUUAUUUAACAUGGAGGGUCAGAGCAGACCAGAUAAUGAGCUCUGACAGACUGGAUCUGGUCCAAAGGUCUCCUGUUGGAGUUCUCGAAGCUCCAUAUUUUAAAUCUGAACACGUGAAGUUUGAUUAUUAAUUAUUUUUAUCUACAUUCUCUUUCCUUUUUUCAGACUGAGUGGCUGCAGUUUGUCAGAGAUCAGCUGUUCUUCUCUGGCCUCAGCUCUGAAGUCCAACCCCUCCCAUCUGAGUGAGCUAAACUUGGGUAACAACGAUCUGCAGGACUCAGGAGUGAAGCUGCUGUGUGACUUUCUGCAGAGUCCAAACUGUAAACUGGACAUUCUGGGGUAAGUUUGUUGAUGAUGUUUUCAUGUCUAGAGGACAUGCUGGAGUGAAUUCAACCAAACCUCCUGAGAAAAAGACAGCAGUGGCAGACAUUAGAUCAGACUUCAUGACGUCUGUGCGUCCCGUUAAUCAACCAAAUCAGCAGUCUGAGAGUUUUCCCUCAUCUCUUUAGAUUUGAUGGUUUUUGUGAUUUUAAUGUUUCCACACAAACUUUAAAUUGUUGAAACUGAAUUUUGUUCGUCAUGAUAAUGUGACAGCUGAUUUUAUAAAAAAACUUUUAGAUUUGGAGUUAAAGUGUUUCAAUUUCAGACAUUUUGAACAUAUUUAUGAGUUUUUAUUCAUUAAUUACAACCAUAUCAUACUGAUAUCAGACAGGAGUGUGACAGGUGUUUAUUUUGUCUUUUUGACACGUUACAAUAAUGAGGAUAAAGUCAUGGACUAAACUUGGGCUCCCAGUUUCCUUGUUGUUGUUGUUGCUUCAGCUAGCAUCGUUUUCAUCACAGUUAUUAAAGUAAUAAUGAUGCUUCAUAAAUCCAGAGUCACAAAAAACACCAAACAAACCAAAUCUGAAAAAGAUCCACUUUUUCAUCAAAUGUGUUUAAUCUGUCAGAUCAUGAGGUUUGAGUUUUCAUGAGGAGGAAUAGAGAAAUAUCUGCAGUGACAGAGAGAAACACAGACGCCUGAAUUUACACUGACAGACACACAAACACAGACAGAGAGACACAAACAGGGAUUUCCACUUUGUCACUUUGCUCUGAUGACUGAAGUCACAAAAACAAAGUUUUCUUUGGUUCUUGAACUUAUUUGGUUAAAUCAUAAAAGUGACAAACUCUCAGAUUUUGUUCUUCCCAAUAUUAUUUAAUGAGCUCUUUCAAACUGGAUCUGGUCCAAAGGUCUCCUGUUGGAGUUCUCUAGGCUUGAUUUUUUUAAACCUGAAAACUUGAAGUUUGAUUAUUAAUUAUUUUUAUCUACAUUCUUUAUCCUUUUUUCAGGCUGUGGAGCUGCGGGUUGUCAGAGAUCAGCUGUUCUUCUCUCGUCUCAGCUCUAAAGUCCAACCCCUCGCAUCUGAGAUUUCUGGACCUGAGUGACAACAAAUUGCAGGAUUCAGGAGUGAAGCUGCUGUGUGACUUUCUGCAGGAUCCAAACUGUGAACUGGCGAUUCUGGGGUUAGUUUAUUCUUUGUCUGUUUCUGGUGUAGCUUUUGAUGUUUAAUCAUUUUUUUAACCCAAUUCAAAUGUUCACAGACUUCUUGAAUAUUUCCAGAACUUUCUUCUUACUCACAAAGGUGACAAAGAUCCUCCUGUUUCCUCCAUGUCACAGUUCAAGUUCAUUUUGAAGAGUUCUCUAAGCUCGACAUUUUAAACCUGAACAUAUGAAGUUUGAUUAUUAAUUAUUUUUAUUUACAUUCUCUUUCCUUUUUUCAGACUGAGUUUCUGCAGUUUGUCAGAGAUCAGCUGUUCUUCUCUGGCCUCAGCUCUGAAGUCCAACCCUUCCCAUCUGAGAAACCUGGACCUGAGUGGAAACGAUCUGCAGGAUUCAGGAGUGAAGCUGCUGUGUGACUUUCUGCAGAGUCCAAACUGUGAACUGGAGAUUAUAGAGUGAGACUUUUUUCCUCCAUUCAAACAUUAUCAUGAUUUGUUUGUGAUGAUGACACUAAACUGCUGACUCAGGACUGAAAUACUGACCCAGACUGAACACCUUCAGUCCAGAGUAGAUUUUCUGCAUCAGUGGAUUAUUUGAUUGACUCCAGUUCGAUCACUGCUGAGCUCCAGUGAAUUAAAACCUGAACCCAAGAAGAAACUCUUUGUAGAGUUCACAGUGAGAAGCACAUUCAGACAGAAAACAGAAGCAGGGGGAGAUUUGUCAGACGAGAACCAUUCAAACUUUUGUUCAGGACAAGAUCAGGGAAUAGAAAAAACUCAGAGUUUAGUUUCUGACACUGAUGAAAGUCCAGCUCUGUUACUUUGAAUUUUGAUUGUUUUUAAAUCUUUGUGUGAAAAUCUGAAUUUGAUGGUUUAUCAUGUGUUUUUGAAUUCACUGUUUCAAACUGACUUCCUGUUUGGUUCAGCUCUUUGGAGCGUCACUUUUCUCUGAUUCAUACUUUCCAAACCUUUCCCCUGAACUCUACAGAUUUAAGACAUCAGGUUUCAAACUGGAUCAUUUUUCUCUAAAAUCUCAUUAUUUCCUCUUUAUUUAGGUUGAAAUACUGCAGUUUGACAAAGAUCAGCUGUUCUUCUCUGGCCUCAGCUCUGAAGUCCAACCCCUCCCAUCUGAAAACUCUGGACCUGAGAGACAACAAUCUGCAGUAUUCAGAUCUGAAGCCGCUGCGUGAUCUUCAGAAGAGUCUAGACUACAGCCUGGAGGAUCUGAGGUCAGUAUAGAGUUGGAGUUGCAGAUAUUCAGUAUUUCCUGCUGACUCUUCGACCCUCUCAGAGGAUUCUUUCUUUAGUGAAGCUGUGAGAACAGAAAUCAUCAAACCAGGAGUGUAAGAGUGUCAGUCAUGAAAAAAGUGUCUCCUCGUCUCUAUAUUUCAGAUCAAAUGUAGAAAUGAGACAUAAUGAAACAGAAAUGUUCAGUUUCUGCUCUGAAGUCCAGUUUAUAGUUCUCUGUAUUCAACACAGACUUUAUUUCUCUGCUAACUUGUUGAUUUUGAGCUCUAAGUCUGAAAACAGACAGCUGUUCUUUAUACUUGUUAUUUUCACAGCAGGUUUGUUCGAUCAGCUUUAACACAUUUGACAGGAAGGAUUUCUUUAUUUUGAUGAUGUUGGUUUAUUUGUGAGGAAACCUGCUGCUUUACACCAUCACUUCUGGUCUGAGCAGGACUGAGACCUGCUGGUCUGUAAACUGGAUGUUCUUCAGUCCAGCUGAUGAAGUGAGUCUCAGAGUGGAAACACUGAUCGUCUUUUUUUCUCUCCGCAGCCGGGUUGACCUCAAGAGUGAUGAUGAAGAGGAUGAUCUGUCUUCUGAUGAUCAGAGAGGUGAAGGCAGCAGUAGUGAGGAUGAGUCUCUGACUUGGCCAUGUUACUGAGAGACUGACUGACCAAUCACAGCGGACGGAGAGGACUCUGGGAGCUGCACUUUGACCUGCUCUGAGAUCAGCUCAGGACCUGGACUCUGGAUAUUUGAUAUUUUCCCUCAUAUUCUGGGAUCAAACAGUCUGAACAGGUUUGUUUUGUUUAUGGAAACAUGAUCAUAAAUUCACCCACCCCCAUGAUGCAGCGCCACCUAGUGGAAAUAUAAAGCGGUGGAGUUGAUGUAUUCCCACAGACUUCUGCAGCAGGAGUUGAUACCAUGUGUGACAGUAGAUCAGUCAGAAGUUCUGAUUAAGGCUGUUUUUCAGGGACCAAAACUUUCUGUCUGUCAGAACAUUUAGAGCUAAAAUCUGGGAGAGUUAAGACUAAUCUAAACAAAGUGUUGAGUUUCAGAACAGUACAACACGUCGUCAUGGGUAGCCUCCUGGAGGAUAGAUAUGAUGUACCCAUGAUGAUGAAAGACUCAUACACACACACACACACACAUAUCAGAGGUACAAGCAGUUUCAAAGGGAGUAGACGAAAGGCUUAGGGAGCUUUCUUUGGUUUUGGUCAAAACUCUGUCAUCUUUACUGAUUUCUACAUCUGUACAAUAAAAGACACCCAGGCUGUGCUUCAGAUCUCAUCCUGUCUCCUGUGCAUUGUUUUACUGAGUUUAUGCUGGAUUCUCCACUACAUCCCUGUACAUGUUUUUGUUCUCAUAUAAUCUUUGAGCUCAUCAAUAAUCGAUUCCCUCCUGUUUGGAUGUACAAACACAAUCAUUAAACCAUAAAUGAGACCUGAAUGUAAAAGUAAAAUGUGUGAAAUAUAAUUUGUCAAAGCAAAGAUUCUUGAACAAAAAAACUCCAAAGCUUUUCUAUCCCACAGAGAAGAUCGGUUUGUUUUCAGAGACCUUCCUGAUCCCAUCCCUCCAAAAUGAAAAUAAUCUGAUGAUUUAUUAACUGCUGAAUCAAAAACAUAAGUUGUUCCUUAUUUUCUUUACGCAAACGUUUGUGUUCAUUUAAUCAUUUUCCAUGUUAAGCUGGAUGGUGGGGAUUUGUCGUGUUAUGUGCAUAUAUUCAUGUAAGGACUCUUAAACAAGUGGUUGCGACACGUCGUUAUCUGUUCCACAAUGGCUGUCUUGCUUUCCUUCUUCUCAACUCUGAGUGUUCGGUUGUACGGGACAUCGUAAUAAGUUAUUCACAGUUUUUUUAAUGAAAAUUUUAUGGUAGUUUGUUGCUGGUUAAUGAUAGUUCAUUCGUUUUCUUUGACAGCCAAGUUAGCCAAAGAAACAAGUCAAACAAGAAAUUGUUAUUAAAAUCUUGUAACUUGUCAGGAAAGCUCCUGCAUCUUGCAAAGUAUUGGUGAUUUCUUUUCUUGUUUCAUCUGAAAAAUUCGUAGGAGAUGGUAAAAGACCUCUCGCUUUAAGUUUGCAUGGUCUUAUCAAAAUUAGCUGCUGUUCUGCGCUUUUUAACUUAUUUUAGUUUUUUCUAGGAUUAUAAUUAAUUAAAUGUGUGGUAAUGUUAAAUGAGCAUCAUGAAGAGAGAGCGACAUUGACAACCUUAAGACAGAGCUGGAGGUAGAGAAGCACUCAUCUGUAGUUUGUUGGUUUGACCAGCAGGUGGAGCUGCUGUGUAAACAAUAAACUGAGACUCAACCAAA
rnacentral:lncRNA from 1 species